rnacentral:snoRNA from 1 species
UGCCACAAUGAUGACACUUAUUUGCUACUCUUGACUCAAGAGAGUGAUGAGCACUUCUACCACCAUAACAUUCCUCUGAGGCA